UUUACACUCAAAGUGUCACGCACAGCACCAAUGUCAUUGGCCUUGGAAUUAUUUUGGAUCUUCGUAUUCAGACGGUUUUCUUUUUUUUUAUGUUGGUGCCAGCAGACGACAUACAUGAACCAUUUAUAAAUAGAACUCAUUAACUCGAGGUGUGUUGUCGAAGACUGUUACAAUGAAGGUUUCUGGACUUGACGCCAUUAAAUAUAAAAGAAACCAUAUCGGGACGAAACCACAACACCGCUGUGUCUCAGUCGGAAAAUAAAGGAUUCUUAUUUGUCAGCGCCAAGGUCAUACGAGAAUUCUUAACUAGUUGAGUCAGCAGUCCAUAUCGUGGAUUUCUCGUCACGCCAGCUUCAGCUAACUUAUGAGAAUUUACUGCUGUAAUUGGAUGUCUAAUUUGCUAAUUAACAGCAAACAUGAGUACUACAAGCUGGCCGUCUAACAAAUUUGCCGUAGAGCACGCUAUCCUGACAGGCCGUUUGACCCAUGGUUGGAUCUUUCACCCGGCGCGUGCAUGACUUUCCGUCUGUGUUUUCUGAUCGAAAUACUGGAAAGUUAACCGAUAAUGAGGUAUGUAGGAUAUAAAGGGAGUCACGUCGUUCGUUUCAUGUUUUUUCCCCCGUUAUGGGGUAGCAUUCCUGAGUAGGUUAGCUUAGUUUGAUACAUUUUUUAUGCACCAGCAUGACUGAACCGUUUAAGUUUCUUACUUCUCCGUUAAAUAGUUUCCUUCGUAAUCGGGAAACGAAAUUUCACGACUAUUUGAAAUCUA